rnacentral:rRNA from 1 species
GACGAACCGUGCGAACGUUGUUCGGAAUCACUGGGCUUAAAGGGCGCGUAGGCGGGCGACCAAGUCAGGGGUGAAAUCCUCCGGCUCAACCGGAGAACAGCCUUUGAUACUGGUCACCUCGAGGGAGGUAGGGGCAUGUGGAACUUCCGGUGGAGCGGUGAAAUGCGUAGAUAUCGGAAGGAACGCCGGUGGCGAAGGCGGCAUCCUGGACCGACAUUGACGCUGAGCGGCGAAAGCUAGGGGAGCAAACGGGG